GGAGGUGGCUUGUUCAGGAAAGAGUUAACUCAACAGGUCUGGGAUAUUCAAAUCCCACACAUUUCAAAAUAAAGCUCUGUCCUCAUUGGCUAUUGGGAGAAAAUCUACGUCUUUGGACUAUUCUUCCAGAUUGGAGACUGAAAAGAAGAGAAGUUAAGGAACUUGUCUAAGAUCAUCAAGCAAAGAAUUUAAAACUUAAGUUUCAAUAUUUUCUUAGAAAACAAGAAAAGUUAGUGAUCUCAUUAUAGAAAUCUGUUGCCCAGGGAAGAGGAAAUGGUGCCAUUUUUUUUUUUUCAAGAUUUUCUAUUGGGCAUGAAAAUUGCACUAAUUUUCCAGGAUGUUGGAAGAAAUUACAAAAUCUUGAAAACGUAUUGUAUAUAAAACAGAUUUACUGUUGUUUUCAUAAGACUCUUCACAUUCUUCAGGACAAUCAGUUUACUUUAUGUAUUUUACAGUAAACAGUGAACAAGAGGAGAGACAUGAUUGUAUGUAUAUUCGUAUUACCAACAUUUAGUGCAGUGUUUUAUGUGUGUGUGUUAGAUUCUUAGAAAAAUUCUUGAGAAAAUAAAUCUUGUCCCUUCCUCAAUUUCUAGGCAGGAAUGAUUGGACUCUAGUACCUACAAGUAGAUAAAGUAAUCUGGACAGAGCAAUAUAAAAUAACCAUCUCUGCGGUAUGGCUGUCCCUUGAAUUAUCCUACACAAAGAAAUGCCAGAAUGGUAUUAAUCCAAAUGCUAGCUGGGAAAAACUAACACACUGCCUUCUAAAUCACAUCAGCAUAGAGGAGAUUAAUGACCAUUCUUUAAAGCCUAAAUCAAAAGAUUGCAGUAAAGGCAGUGCUUCCAUUCUGGUAUAAAUUUAAAAUAUUGCCAUCCCAUAGCACGGCAGUUCCUCGAGUUUUAGUGAAAAUUUAAUUCAACAAUUGAAGUAACAUUUGGUGCCUUCAGACACGAUAACACUUUUUUUGUUUGGUCAA